GCAGGCGCGCAAAUUGCCCAAUGUCAAAACAAAACGAUGAGGCAGCGAAAAGAAAUAGAGUUGUCAGUCCAUUUGGAUUGUCAUUUCAAUGAGGGAUAUUUAAACCCAUCGAAAAUCUAGUAACAAUUGGAGGACAAGUCUGGUGCCAGCACCCGCGGUAAUUCCAGCUCCAAAAGCGUAUAUUAAUGCUGUUGCUGUUAAAGGGUUCGUAGUUGAACUGUGGGCUGUGUAGGUUUGUUCCUGGUCGUCCCGUCCAUGUCGGAUUUUGGUGGCCCAGGCCCUUGCAGCCCGUGAACAUUCAAAGAAACAAGAAACACGGGAGUGGUUCCUUUCCUGACUCACGCAUGUCAUGCAUGCUGCAGGGGGCGUCCGUGAUUUUUACUGUGACUAAAGAAGUGUGACUAAAGCAGUCAUUUGACUUGAAUUAGCA
rnacentral:rRNA from 1 species